rnacentral:rRNA from 1 species
GACGAACGCUGGCGGCGUGCCUAAUACAUGCAAGUCGAGCGGACUAAUGGGAGCUUGCCCCCGUUAGUUAGCGGCGGACGGGUGAGUAACACGUGGGCAACCUACCUGUAAGACUGGGAUAACUUCGGGAAACCGGAGCUAAUACCGGAUGACAUAGAGGAACUCCUGUUCCUUUAUUGACAGAUGGCUUCGCCUAUCACUUACAGCUGGGCCCGCGGCGCAUUAGCUAGUUGGUGAGGUACCGGCUCACCAAGGCGACGAUGCGUAGCCGACCUGAGAGGGUGAUCGGCCACACUGGGACUGAGACACGGCCCAGACUCCUACGGGAGGCCGCAGUAGGGAAUCUUCCGCAAUGGACGAAAGUCUGACGGAGCAACGCCGCGUGAGCGAUGAAGGCCUUCGGGUCGUAAAGCUCUGUUGUUAGGGAAGAAUAAGUGCUAGUUAAAUAAGCUGGCACCUUGACGGUACCUAACCAGAAAGCCACGGCUAACUACGUGCCAGCAGCCGCCGUAAAAC